rnacentral:rRNA from 1 species
GUGCCAGCCGCCGCGGUAAUACCAGCAGCUCAAGUGAUGUCCCAUAUUAUUGGGCCUAAAGCGUCCGUAGCUGGCCGCGCAAGUCCAUCGGAAAAUCCACCCGCCCAACGGGUGGGCGUCCGGUGGAAACUGCGUGGCUUGGGACCGGAAGGCGCGACGGGUACGUCCGGGGUAGGAGUGAAAUCCCAUAAUCCCGCACGGACCACCGAUGGCGAAAGCACUUCGAGAAAACGGAUCCGACAGUGAGGGACGAAAGCCAGGGUCUCCAACCGGAUUAGAUACUCCAGUAGUCC